GCAGGUGACGUUCAACCAAAUGCACCCCUCUGGUUGUGCAUCUACUUAGCUCCUCUGUCUCUGCAUUGUUAAAUAUUUUGGAUAGCACCUAAACAGUACCUCUUUGCAAUUCCUUGAGCCCUGGCUCAUGUGCAACAAGGCAGACCUGCAUACAGAAAGUGAACCGAGGAAAUCCUGGUCCAGUUUCUGGAAGCUCUGCCUCUGAGAUAAUGCUGGUAGGCAAGGAACAGGCUCUCCUGAGCAUGCAGAUGUCAGCCCUCAGCCUCAUACUGAAGAAGCGGAGCAAGGCCUACAGAGGUGCCUAAGUCAGCACCCCGCAUAGCAGAAACUCAAUACAUACAUGGAUGACUGGAUAGUCAGAUGGAUGCAUGGAUGGAUGGAUGAGUGAGAGUGAGCAUAAUAAUCAUGUCUUUUUUCCCCCUGACUUUCUGAUGCUUUGACAUCUGGGGUUUUGCUGGCCCUGAAAAGUCUGCAGCUCCCAAGGCUAGUAAACUCUGAGAUGGUAUGAGUUUCAUAUGCAAACCAACCAGUCCCUCAUUCCACCCAUCCCCUUACCGUGCCCCCCAGCUACCUCCUUUUUCAGGCUUUCACACUUUGGGUCACUACCUACUUUCCCUCCUCACCCCCAGGGCCAGAUACCAGAUUGUUAGGGUCAGUCCUUGCACCCCAGAGCACUGCUGAAAUCAUUCUAACUAGCAAAUCCUAAACCUGCUCAGCUUGCCUCAUCUGUUCCUUCCCUUGGAAACCACAGUAAAGACUCUCGCCCACAUUUUCCCCUCACUCCUGCCUCCUGAUCUACCCUGGUACUUCCCCACAUAGCCCCUUGUGGCAUGGCCUGCCCUCCUCUGGGGAACUGAAUGAUCUGAUCCACAAGUUUGCUCUAUGCUUUGAAAGAAGCAGCUUCCUCCUAGCAGAUUCUGGAUGUGUUGAGAGAAUGAUCCUCCACAGUGCCAAAGACCAGCAGUUAUAACACUCUACCUUUGAAUCAUGACGCUGCCUUUCACUGGCUAUGAGACCUCAGACACGGUGUAAUUACAGCAAACACGCAUUGGCGGUGAGCAGCAAUCAUGAGACAACUGUUGAGGAUUUCAGAUGCGCUUGGCGGUAGCUCCUGGAGCGCAGCGCGAGGAACCGCAGCUCCAGUUGGCCCGUGCUGGCCCGAAAACAAGGGAUUUGCAGAAGUCGGGAGCGGUGUGUUGGCACGGUGUCCACGCCAUGUCGUUCAUCAGCUAUUUCCUUGAUAGCGGGCUGCGUCUUACCACCAAGCCAACCGACUGACUCAUGAGUCAGUGACUUAAAAAAUAAAUAAAUACUUGAGGCCAGCUGUGCCCGCCGAGCAAAACCUGUCAGGCUGCAGACAAAGUGGGCCUCUGCCACUUUCCCGGGUGGUUUCAUUUUUCCUCUUUUUGUCUUCUUGUUUGAAAACUAUGAAAGUGAAACCACACACCUCCCCCUGAAAGCUGCUGUGUUCCCACGGCUGGAGGAGGUGGGUGGGGGCGAGUCUCCCACUAGCAUCAGCAUUGCCCUUCCACAGGCCCCAGGGUCCAGCCACGCGGCUGGAACCCAGGCCCUACUGUGCCUGGCUCUGAGCAAAGCCCUGCACAGGGAAGUGGCCAAAACCUGUUGUUAGGUGGCUACAGUACAUGGCCAAGAACCCACCCAGGUGUAACUAGAUUCAUCCUCCCAACAGAUGAUGAGGAAAAUAGUGAUAUGUGUGGAAAGCGUGUUAGUCGCUCAGUCACGUCCGACUCUUUAUGACCCAAUGGACUA